CCAAGAGUACAUAAUCUACAGAGAGUGUCUAACCAUACUAUAAUAGCUGAAACAUCACCGCGUAGCCUUUUCUUGUGCAUCUUUGGGCAUUCCCGCAUACUGGGUGUGGCUGAGUAGGAAAAAAUGGCUGCCAAGUUUGCUCAACAAGGUUUACUGGCUGUUUUGGUGCCUCUGCUAUAGCAGUACUGCAUAUCAGACUUCAGCAGCAUUAUAAAGUGUACUAGUAUGAUGUCUAAAGCUUCUUCAAGUUUUCUCCACUGUUUUUAUGUUAACUUCUACACGUGUUUUUAUUGCAGGAGUCACUCCUUUUAUCUCUGUUAGCUUCAAGUCUCUUUUAUCCUUUGCUCUUAACACAUCACAUCUCCGCCCUAGUAUCAUCACUAAAGCCAUCCGUCCUCUCAACUUUAAGUCAACUUUUAUCAUUUAAAGAUAUUGCAGAAUCACUUGGUCUAAUGAUUGAGACGCCUCUUCCAAUGAAUGGGGAGUGUUUCUUGAGUAGUGAUUAUGAGGAAGAGGAACCCAAAGCUGUUUCAGUCUCAUGUCACAUUGUUAAAGAAUCUCCUACUAACAUUAUAGAAAAUUUAGUGCCAAGAGUUCUAUGGAGUCAAAACAGGUCCCAGAUCAUACUUAAUGUCCCACUAAGAGGUUGCAGUAGGCAUCAUGUGGACAUGAAGGAGCAAACCUCUUACAUUAC